GAUGAACGCUGGCGGCGUGCUUAACACAUGCAAGUCGAACGGGAUCCAUCAGGCUUUGCUUGGUGGUGAGAGUGGCGAACGGGUGAGUAAUGCGUGACCGACCUGCCCCAUACACCGGAAUAGCUCCUGGAAACGGGUGGUAAUGCCGGAUGCUCCGACUCCUCGCAUGGGGUGUCGGGAAAGAUUUCAUCGGUAUGGGAUGGGGUCGCGUCCUAUCAGGUAGUCGGCGGGGUAACGGCCCACCGAGCCUACGACGGGUAGCCGGCCUGAGAGGGCGACCGGCCACAUUGGGACUGAGAUACGGCCCAGACUCCUACGGGAGGCAGCAGUGGGGAAUAUUGCACAAUGGGCGCAAGCCUGAUGCAGCGACGCCGCGUGCGGGAUGACGGCCUUCGGGUUGUAAACCGCUUUUGAUCGGGAGCAAGCCUUCGGGUGAGUGUACCUUUCGAAUAAGCA
rnacentral:rRNA from 1 species